CACUUCAUAUCCCAUCCUCUCUCUCUGAGGCAAGCGGGAAAAAUCUCUCAGGAAGACUCACUUCUGUAUGGGUGCCUGUCAUGCACCUUGUUCCCUCAAAGAAUAUCCAGGAUUUUACCCUGCUUAAUUGCCCCCUGAAGACAUGAGCAAUUAGCAGGUUGUCUCUUCUGAUGAGAAGACAGCACCGGAAAAAGGAAAGGAAGGAAUCCUGUGUGUCACAAUACACUGUAGCUCUCUGAGAUCGCUGUGGAUGAACUUCUGUCCUUGGCAAAGAAAAGACACUCUGGAAAGUAGCAAAUUGAACCUGUCAGUUUCUGUGAGGAGUGAAUCUGAUACAUUCACACUCUGAGAAAUGAAAGAGGGAAGAGGGGAAAGGAGGACUGUAGCAUGGAGAAUGAAAGAAACCUACAAUGCUGAUGACAACUGCAACUUUCUGCUUCCAGGGUCUCUCCACAUAAGUGAUACAUUUUGUGUCCCUCCUGUAAGCCGUUACUUACUAACUACCCAAUUACUUUAUUAUGAGUCACUGGUAAAAAUGCCUUAGCGUUUUCAGCAAACUCUAGUUUAAAGUCAAUGGUUUCUCGAUUCAAAAUUAUUUAUUAAAUAAAAUAUUU